CGUUAUGACGUGUUGGGAAUGAUGGCUGUUGUUGGGUUGUUGUGUGUAGCCUAGCAGGUUUAUUGACUGUCUGAAUGUGGUUUAUUGACGGUAAUAUUUCAAUGAAACCUUUUGACUCGGAUGAAGAAGAGGGAGAGCAGCCGGGAGCCAAGCGAAAGGAGCUGAGACGACGAGCAAACCAGAGCCUCCAACAGCUGAGCGGUGCUCUGGACCAGCUGGACCCUGAUGAAGAGGAUGUCCGACCCGCUGCAGGUGACGUCUUCCCUGAGGAGGACAAGACAGCAUGGAGUCACAAGACUCAGAGUGAAGCAGUUAACCAGCUGAAGAGCCUCCUGUUGAAGCAAGGCAGAGAAAUCCCCACCUCUUUAUCCCCUUCAGGGAAGCAAUCUCCAUCUAAGAAAGUGCGCCUGGAUGGCAGGUCCAGUUUACCAGCCUUUCGGGACUUGGUUCCAAUGAAUUAUGACCAGUCUGAGUACAUUCAGCACCUGGAAGCUGAAGUAAAGUUCUGCAAGGAGGAGCUGCAGGGACUGAAGCAGCGGAUCAGAGUGGUGGUGGUUGAAAAUGAGAAGCUGCAGUCUGAGCUCAAAUCCAGGAUUGCGGAUCAGUCUCUGAAAGAUUAUCCAAUCCAUAAUUCUAUGGUGCAAAACAACAACUUGAUAACCUCAAAAACGGAGCAUAACACCUGGAAAAAUGACCUGGAGCAGUUAAAAGUGAUCCACCAGGCCCAGACUGAAAGCUUGGAGGCUCAACUCAUCUCUCUCAGAAAGGAUCUCUCAGUGAGUCAGAAGGAGUGUGAGGAGGUGAAGGUUCGUCUGAGACACAAAGAGCAGCAGGUUGCAGAAGCGUUGAAGGCCGAUGGAGUUGCCCGUGUAGCCGGGUUGUGUCUGCAGUGUGCGCAGCAUGAAGCGGUGGUGGCUGGAACUCAUGCAAAUCUGCAUGUGCAGGCUAUUGAUAGGCUCACAAAGGAACGGGAUGAAUUGCUGGCAGCUCUGCGUGCGGUGCGGGCGAGUCAACAAGAGGCCCAGCAGAGAGAGUGGUCAGCCUGCCUGCAGGUCAAACAGGCUGUGGAGAUAGCCGAAGAAGCCAAUCUACAAAAAACUAGGGUGGAGAUGCAGUGUGAGCAAUUAUCCAGGGAGCUGGCGCGACAGAGGGAACAGCUGGACAGAGAGGCGCAUGCAGUGCGGGCCAAGAUGGCGGAGGCCCGAGAGGAGGGCCGGGCUGAGGCACGCAAACAAAAAGAAGAGCUAGCACAAACGGCGUCCAGCCUGUCUCAGCAGGUAGCCGAGCUGGAGGGGCAGCUGGACCGAGCUCACAGAGACAGGAGUUCACUGACCAAUCAGCUGGAAGAUACGCUCAGCAAGCUGACCAAUCAGGAACAAGACAAUGCCAAGGUAUGUAUGGAUCUGCGGUAUCAGCUUAGCAAUGCCAGCCUGAAGAAAGAGGAGGCUGAGCGAGAGCUCAGAGAGCUGAAGGCCAAGACGAGCAGGCAGAAGGAAAAAGCUGCACAGGAAGUGGAAAGUCUGAGCUCAGAGCUGGUUUGCUGUCGGCAGCGUUUGGAGGCGGCCCAAAGGGUUGGGAGCCAAUGGCAGUCCAAAGCUCUGAGCCUGGAAGAACAGCUGGCAAAUGCCCAGCGCCAACUGCACCUCACCAGCAGUAACCAGGUCUCGUGCUUUGGAUCGUGGUGUCUCCAUCGUCUGGUUGUACCAGGAGAUGCUCAGAGGAAAAGUCAACAGAAAGGCAGGAACUGCAGGGAGACAGGACAGAGAGAGUGCGGCGCGGGAUCAUGCAGAGGAAAUGGCGUCUGUGACCCUUUCAGCGCGGGAACGGGAGAAGGAGCUGGCUGUCAUGCUGCAGAAAUCGGAGGCUCAACACCUGCAGAGAGUCGGAGAGAUGGAGAAUCUCAUGGGUUCCCAGAAUUCCCUGAUCGGGAAGCUCAAAGAGGAAUGCUGCAAACUUGGGGCCAAACUGGAAGAGUUGUCUCAUCAAAGCAGGAGCGAGCUGGAACAGCUGGCUCUGGAGAGGCAGCACUCGGAGGAGACGGUGAAGAGCCUGAGAGCGCGCUGCUCGGAAAUGGAGGAGCAGUGUGUCCAGCAUGGACGCAUGCACCAGCGCAUGAAGGACAGGCUGCAGCAGUUGGACCGACACUGUCAGAGCAGCGCCCAGCAGGUGUGUGAGCUUCUGGCCAAACAGAGCCAGCUGAUGCAGGAAAGAAACGCGCUUAGUGAGGAGAUGCAGAACCUACGCAUCGAGUUACCCAAUCUGAGACGAAAUGAACCAGUGAGCACAUGAGCACAUCGGUUCUGGUUCCUCCUCUUCAGUCUUUCGUUCUGGAUGUUUUCUACUCUGUUGAACAGAAACAAAAAGGACAGUUUUUCUACUCUAUUCCCCAUUAGGAUGUGUUUUAUGUAACUCUCACUGUGAAUGAUGUGUUUAAGGUGUGAGGUAUCAAGGUGUUUAACAUUAAUAAAACCCAAAGCAACACUUUUAAAAUUGCUUGAUUUGCUUUUCUUAUCUUGUUUAUUGGAGUUUGGUUUAUCCCGUUGGCCUGUGAAAUUGAUCAAAUAUUGUUUUGACCUCAAACAAUCUCAGAAUUUGUCAUUGUCAAAAUUUUCCUUCCCUUUUUGCUUUUGCGCUGUAAAAUCACAACGGCAAUGGUGUUAAAAUACUGUUCACAGCGAAAAGAACUCUAAUGUGUAGUUUAGACAAAAAGCAUAAUGAUGGACAGUGGCAGCUAAUCCAGUAGUUCAUAAAAGUGAUGUCUGUAUUCAUACAGGAGAAACACUUUUUUGUAUGUUUAAUAUACAUUUAUUUCAUUGUAACUCCCAGAAAACAUGAGCCGAGUGAUCAAAGAGUCGUAUCAAAACAGAGGGGAGCUAGCAUUAGCUGGCCAUUUCAGCUAACUCCUCCCCAAAGAUCCUCUCUAAAGGCGAGAUGCAUUUAUUGAGGACUUUGUAGCCAUAUAUGUCAUGUUAUAUGCUCCUCAGUAUCACGGUUAUCUGAAACAUGCGAUAUUGAUGAACCAUGUUCUUAAUAUGUAUACCAUUUUUUUUAAUGAGUUGGAAGUAAAUUCUGAAUCAUUUAACUUUAGAAAAACUGGAAAUAUGCUUUUGCUCAUACAACAUUUUUAUUGAAAUUUGUUGGCUUCUGUAUUUAAGUGGAGAAUAGUUGAUUAUAUAGUCAAAUAUGGAGUUAUGGGACUUUAUAAAUGUAAAAGAAAGGUAUAAAACAAAAGUCUUGUAGCACUCUUGGAUUGAUAAAAACAUAUUUUUGUUAAUUUCUUAAUAAAUGAGAUUAACUUCAGGCCUCAUCAUAUACAAUAAUUUAUGAAUAGUCUAAAUGUUUCCCCCCUUAAAUGUUACUUUCAGACAUUAAAGGUUUCCUUGUUCUUUCAGACCUUUUGGGCAAUAACACACAUGCAAACUGGUAGCUCUAAAGGUACAUGAAUACAGUACAGAACAAAAGUCUGGAUGCACCUUUUAAUUCAAUGAGUUUCCUUUAUUUUCAUGAC